rnacentral:rRNA from 1 species
UACAGGGGGGGCAAGCGUUGUUCGGAAUUACUGGGCGUAAAGGGCUCGUAGGCGGCCAACUAAGUCACACGUGAAAUCCCCAGGCUCAACCUGGGAACUGCGUGUGAUACUGGAUGGCUUGAAUUCGGGAGAGGGAUGCAGAAUUCCAGGUGUAGCGGUGAAAUGCGUAGAUAUCUGGAGGAAUACCGGUGGCGAAGGCGGCAUCCUGGACCGACAUUGACGCUGAUGAGCGAAAGCUAGGGGAGCAAACGGG